rnacentral:rRNA from 1 species
CCUACGGGUGGCAGCAGUGGGGAAUAUUGCACAAUGGGGGAAACCCUGAUGCAGCGACGCCGCGUGAGUGAAGAAGUAUUUCGGUAUGUAAAGCUCUAUCAGCAGGGAAGAAGAAAGACGGUACCUGACUAAGAAGCCCCGGCUAACUACGUGCCAGCAGCCGCGGUAAUACGGAGGGGGCAAGCGUUAUCCGGAUUUACUGGGUGUAAAGGGAGGUUAGAGGGUUGUGCAAGUCUGAAGUGAAAGCCCAGGGCUCAACCCUGGGACUGCUGUGGAAACUGUGGGGCUCGAGUGGUGGAGAGGUAGGUGGAAUGCGUAGUGUAGCGGUGAAAUGCGUAGAUAUUAGGAAGAACACCGGUGGCGAAGGCAGCCUACUGGACUGCAACUGACGUUGAGGCCCGAAAGCGUGGGGAGCAAACAGGAUUAGAUACCCGAGUAGUC